rnacentral:rRNA from 1 species
UACGUAGGGGGCAAGCGUUGUCCGGAAUCAUUGGGCGUAAAGCGCGUGUAGGCGGCCUUGUAAGUCCGUUCUGAAAGCCCGGGGCUCAACCCCGGGAGGCGGAUGGAUACUGCGAGGCUCGAGUCCGGAAGAGGCGAGUGGAAUUCCCGGUGUAGCGGUGAAAUGCGCAGAUAUCGGGAGGAACACCAAUGGCGAAGGCAGCUCGCUGGGACGGUACUGACGCUGAGACGCGAAAGCGUGGGGAGCAAACAGG